GACGAACGCUGGCGGCGUGCUUAACACAUGCAAGUCGAACGGAAAGGCCCUGCUUUCGUGGGGUGCUCGAGUGGCGAACGGGUGAGUAACACGUGAGUAACCUGCCUUGGAUUUGGGGAUAACUUCAGGAAACUGGUGCUACUACCGGAUAGGAGCCCCUGCUGCAUGGUGGGGGUUUGAAAGUUUCGGCGGUUGGGGUUGGAGCCGCGGCUGAUCAGCUUGUGGGUGGGGUAGUGGCUUACCAAGGCUUUGACGGGCAGCCGGCCUGCGAGGGUGACCGGCCACAUUGGGACUGAGAAACGGCCAGGACUCAUACGGGAGGAAGCAGUGGAGAAUAUUGCACAAUGGGCGGAAGCCUGAUGCAGCGACGCCGCAUGCGGGAUCACGGCCUUCGGGUUGUAACCCGCUUUCGCCUGUAACGAAGCGUGAGUGACGGUAAUGGGUAAAGAAGCACCGGCUAACUACGUG
rnacentral:rRNA from 1 species